rnacentral:tRNA from 1 species
GCACCAGUGGUCUAGUGGUAGAGUAGUACCCUUCCACGGUACAAACCUGGGUUUGAUUCUCGGCGAAUGCG